AACCCUGAAGCCCGGCACGAUGUCUCCAGAGGCCUUCCUACAGGAGGCCCAGGUCAUGAAGAAGCUGAGGCAUGAGAAGCUGGUGCAGUUGUAUGCUGUGGUUUCGGAGGAGCCUAUUUACAUCGUCACGGAGUACAUGAGCAAGGGGAGUUUGCUGGACUUUCUCAAGGGGGAGACAGGCAAGUACCUGCGGCUGCCUCAGCUGGUGGACAUGGCUGCUCAGGUGAGUCAGCCCCUCCUGCCUCCCCACACCCUUGGUCCUCAAGCACCCAGCCCCAUCUGGUGCAGCCAGUUCUGGCCUCUUGAGUGCCCUCUCCAAGAAGCCUGCCUUGAUUGCCUCCACACUCAUUGAUCUUGCUGCACGUAUUUACCAGGUCUGCUUACAGGUGCCCUGAGUGGUGAUUCUGGGCAGCAGAAAGCCCUUACCUGGGCAUCAGGGGUCACUGACUUACUGUGGGACCUCGGGCCUCAGUUGUCGUCUUUAUAAAGGUCAUUUAGUCAC
rnacentral:sRNA from 1 species